AGCGAACGCUGGCGGCAGGCCUAACACAUGCAAGUCGAACGAACCUUUCGGGGUUAGUGGCGGACGGGUGAGUAACACGUGGGAACGUGCCUUUAGGUUCGGAAUAACUCAGGGAAACUUGUGCUAAUACCGAAUGUGCCCUUCGGGGGAAAGAUUUAUCGCCUCUAGAGCGGCCCGAGUCUGAUUAGCUAGUUGGUUGAGGUAAUGGCUCACCAACGCGACGAUCAGUAGCUGGUCUGAGAGGCUGAUCAGCCACAUUGGGACUGAGACACGGCCCAAACUCCUACGGGAGGCAGCAGUGCGGAAUCUUGCGCAAUGGGCGAAAGCCUGACGGAGCCCUGCCGCGUGAAUGAUGAAGGUCUUAGGAUUGUAAAAUUCUUUCAACGGGGACGAUAAUGACGGUACCCGGAGAAGAAGCCCCGGCUAACUUCGUG
rnacentral:rRNA from 1 species